AUUGAACGCUGGCGGCAGGCCUAACACAUGCAAGUCGAACGAGUGGCGGACGGUUGAGUAAUGUCUGGGAAACUGCCCGAUGGAGGGGGAUAACUACUGGAAACGGUAGCUAAUACCGCAUACCAUCGGAUUUCCCCAGAUGGGAUUAGCUUGUAGGUGAGGUAACGGCUCACCUAGGCGACGAUCCCUAGCUGGUCUGAGAGGAUGACCAGCCACACUGGAAUGUAGACACGGUCCAGACUCCUACGGGAGUCAGCAGGGGGGAAUAUUGCACAAUGGGCGCACGCCUGAUGCAGCCAUGCCGCGUGUAUGAAGAAGGCCUUCGGGUUGGAAAGUACUUUCAGCGGGGAGGCGUUACCCGCAGAAGAAGCACCGGCUAACUCCGUGCCAGCAGCCGCGGUAAUUC
rnacentral:rRNA from 1 species